AUUGAACGCUGGCGGCAGGCCUAACACAUGCAAGUCGAACGAGUGGCGGACGGGUGAGUAAUGUCUGGGAAACUGCCUGAUGGAGGGGGAUAACUACUGGAAACGGUAGCUAAUACCGCAUACCAUCGGAUGUGCCCAGAUGGGAUUAGCUAGUAGGUGGGGUAAAGGCUCACCUCGGCGACGAUCCCUCGAUGGUCUGAGAGGAUGACCAGCCACACUGGAACGGUGACACGGUCCAGACGCCUACGAGAGGCAGCAGGGGGGAAUGUUGCACAAUGAGCGCAAGCAUGAUGCAGCCAUGCGGCCUGUAUGAAGAAGGCCUUCGGGUUGUAGAGUACUUUCGGCGGGGAGGCGUUACCCGCAGAAGAAGCACCGGCUAACUCCGUGCCAGCAGCCGCGGUAAUAC
rnacentral:rRNA from 1 species